AGCAGCCAAGGACUGGCCUGGGAUCAGAAGAGGCCAGUGAUGAAGAGGCCAGUAGGAGAGCCCAAAGAAUUGCUGGGACUUUUUAGUGCUUUUCCUAAAGCUUCUGAGAAGCCCCCUUCCUUUACAGAUUUUUGUUUUGAUUCGUUUGAUUCGUUUAAGUCCUUCAAUUAGACUUCUAGACUUCAUGGGGCUUUGCCUUAGUGAUGUCAUAAGGGUAUCUGAGGGAUGGUGAUUAGAGUGGUUCACGAGAAGCUGACCCAUCGCAGCAUCACCUCCUCAAGUUACAAGGUAAGACAGCGUUGCCAGGAUCAAGACCCAGGAAUGUCUCACCAGUGAGGCUGUGCUGAGCACAGUC